rnacentral:rRNA from 1 species
CAGUCGCCGCGGGAAUACAGAGGUCCCGAGCGUUGUUCGGAUUCACUGGGCGUAAAGGGUGUGUAGGGGGUUGGAUAAGUCAGGUGUGAAAUCCCUGAGCUUAACUUAGGAAUUGCAUUCGAUACUGGGAAGCUAGAGUAUGGGAGAGGAUGGUAGAAUUCCAGGUGUAGCGGUGAAAUGCGUAGAGAUCUGGAGGAAUACCGAUGGCGAAGGCAGCCAUCUGGCCUAAUACUGACGCUGAGGUACGAAAGCAUGGGGAGCAAACAGGAUUAGAUACCCCAGUAGUCCCUGUCUCUUAUAC